rnacentral:rRNA from 1 species
UCUCACCUUGUUUCCCACUGAUGCUAAGCAGGGUACCUGGCCAGUACCUGGAUGGGAGAUCUCCUGGAAGCUUCUGGAAGUGGUGAGGC